UGUGGCUGAUUAAGGUAGCCCCUUCAGGGCUGUAACUCGGCUUUCUCCCCCCUCCUUUGUGAAUGACUAGAUUCUUUCCGUCUGCCGCAUCAGCAGCUGGGCUACACCCCAGUUUUAAGAGGAGUGUCUCUCAUCAUUCGAUGACCCAGUAACUCCUCUGGCAGCUCCAGCAGGGAGUUUGCUGGAGAGGAAAAAAGGUGGAGUAAAGUGUCCUUAUUGCUUCUUGAUUUCCAACUGAAUUGCAAUCCUUGCUUUAUUCCUCAUCCUCAAGAAAAUGUCAAAUGGGCGUUGCAUGGAACUGAGUAAAGAACGUUCUCCAGAGAGCACCCAUUUUCAGAAUGGGAGAACCUUCCUCAGCUUGCCUUGAAAAACACUUGUGUGUGCAUUUAAGCUCUCCUUGAAUCUGGUGGCAAAGAAAACUACAAAUCCCAGGCUUCCUGGCAGGAAAUGAUGUACCUAAGCAUGAUUGUGAGCACCAUUUCUAGUUAUGGAGAAGCAAGAAAUCCUCUCUAGUAAGCCUUCCCAAUGGCUGGUUAUUCUCUUCCACUUCUGAAACACCCCAAACAGCUUUUUGCGGAAAAGAGAAAAGGAGAAGGAAAAGGAGAAAGAAAGAAUCUUGGGGAGAUUUGGAUUGGGACUCCACAAGGCUGUAUGUAUGAAACAUUUCUUUUGGAAAGAAGAACCACUUCUAGUGCAAAUGCUUCUCUUCAAUGUGCAUUUGUGUGCUCAUCUAGUUUUACUCCUGAGUAAGCACAUAUAGUAUUGCAGCUUGUCCUUCUGCUUAUAAUUCUACCUGCAAAGCUUACAACAGAGAGGGAAAGCUUCGGUGCAUUGAUGAAACAGUGCUGGGGCUCUUUGCUUUAAAAUUUCCAAUAGAGGAUUCUCCUGGCCAUAACUGAAGCCAUUUUUUAAAGCUUUAAAACAUUUUACUUUCCCUCCCUCUUUUAAUUAAACAUGAAGACUGUGAUAGCGAAUACAAGAGCCUGACGGAAUAAUGCAUUAUGCUUUGAUUAAAGAGCUUGUGGUGGCAAUUAGCAUAUUAUAACUUGUAAUCUAAUUUAAUAUGGAUUGUUUAAUAGUUCUGAAAUUAAAAGAAGAUGCAACAAUGAACUGCAGUCCAAAUGAGGACUAUAAACAUCCUGCUGAUGGUUAUUAUUGUUCUGUGCUUUUAUCUAAGAGUCACAAGUAUAAUAUUAUGUCCAUAGUGGAAAUCUCAUUUUAAAACCUCUUUUGAGGCAUCUGGUAUUAAA